AGAGUUUGAUCCUGGCUCAGGACGAACGCUAGCGGGGGGCUUAACACAUGCAAGUCGUGCGUGAAGUCUUUCUUCGGAUAGGUGGAAAGCGGCGAACGGGUGAGUAACACGUGGGCAAUCUGCCCUCAGGUGGGGAAUAACAUUCCGAAAGGGGUGCUAAUACCGCAUAACAUUUAACUUUCUCCUGAAAGUUAAAUCAAAGCCUUCGGGCGCCUGGGGAUGAGCCUGCGCCCCAUUAGCUUGUUGGUAAGGUAACGGCUUACCAAGGCUACGAUGGGUAGCUGGUCUGAGAGGAUGAUCAGCCACACUGGGACUGAGAUACGGCCCAGACUCCUACGGGAGGCAGCAGUGAGGAAUAUUGCACAAUGGACGCAAGUCUGAUGCAGCCACCCCGCGUGCGGGAUGAAGCCCUUGCGGGUGUAAACCGCUUUCAGAAGGGACGAACCCCGGAGUUUUGCUCCGGUUGACGGUACCUUCAGAAGAAGCUCCGGCUAACUCCGUGCCAGCAGCCGCGGUAAUACGGGGGGAGCAAGCGUUGUCCGGAUUCACUGGGCGUAAAGCGCGUGUAGGUGGGAUCGCAAGUCUAAGGUUAAAUGUCGGGGCAUAACCCCGUGCCUGCCUUGGAAACUGCGGUUCUUGAGUAUGGUAGAGGGAAGUGGAAUUCCUGGUGUAGCGGUGGAAUGCGUAGAUAUCAGGAAGAACACCGGUGGCGAAGGCGACUUCCUGGCCCAUUACUGACACUCAGACGCGAAAGCGUGGGUAGCAAACAGGAUUAGAUACCCUGGUAGUCCACGCCCUAAACGAUGAACACUAGGUGUUGGAAGAUUCGACCCUUUCAGUGCCGCAGCUAACGCAUUAAGUGUUCCGCCUGGGGAGUACGAUCGCAAGGUUGAAACUCAAAGGAAUUGACGGGGGCCCGCACAAGCGGUGGAGCAUGUGGUUUAAUUCGAUGCAACGCGAAGAACCUUACCUGGGCUUGAACUGUGGUGGAAAACACCUGAAAGGGUGUCCUCCUUCGGGACCGCUACAGAGGUGCUGCAUGGCUGUCGUCAGCUCGUGUCGUGAGAUGUUGGGUUAAGUCCUGCAACGAGCGCAACCCUUGCCGUUAGUUGCCAUCAGGUCAAGCUGGGCACUCUAACGGGACUGCCGGCGUUAAGCUGGAGGAAGGCGGGGAUGACGUCAAGUCCUCAUGGCCCUUACGUCCAGGGCUACACACGUGCUACAAUGGAUGGUACAGUAGGUCGCAAUACCGCAAGGUGGAGCCAAUCCGAAAAAACCAUCCUCAGUUCGGAUUGCACUCUGCAACUCGAGUGCAUGAAGCCGGAAUCGCUAGUAAUCGCGGAUCAGCACGCCGCGGUGAAUACGUUCCCGGGCCUUGUACACACCGCCCGUCACACCAUGGAAGUCGGGAGUACCCGAAGUCGCAUAACCUGCGCCGAAGGUAAGCUUGAUGACUAGGGUGAAGUCGAAACAAGGUA
rnacentral:rRNA from 1 species